AGAACAAGGACAUGAUGAAAUAUCUGCUGUUGUUGCAGGUGGUUAUUAACAUAUGGGGAGACUUUCUUGGAAACAGAUAAAGGAAAGAGUCCAGUAAUUUGUAGCAAUGUGACUACAGCCACACAUGCUCUAGAAUUAAUGUUCUUCAUUAGGACUGAGGUUACAGAGAGGCCUUCAUGUCCAUCCUGCUAAUACACAUGUUGUAGGGGCUCCAACUCAGUCAAUGCUUGUAUAGUAACCAGCAAACAAGGACAGUGUUUUCCUUACAGCUUGCAUUUUCCUUUACUUGUACCAUCUAUGAUUUUCCAUAUAACUUCACAGAAGCUGAAAAGAGGAUGUUUGGGCAUGCAUAUGACUCCAGUGACUUUCAUGAUCACCAACAGAGAACAUGGACAAUUUGCAGGAAUCAAGACCAUGAAGGGAAACUUUGAGGAUAAUAAAUGCAGCUGAACCAUGAAAAAAUAAAAUAAAAUCGAAUGGAAUCACUCAGAACUGCACAUGGUGUGGCUAGAGUAUGGCAGAGCCUAGCAAGCUGGAAUCACCGCAUCUCGAGCAUCUGCAGCACUUGUCCUCAGAGAGCGCAUACUAAUCAUCUCUCUUCAUGGUCAGUAACCACAUAAGGACAACACCAGACGAUGCCAGUGGUUUGGUUCUGCAGCAUUUAUAUGCUUCCCCACAAAGAGAGUCGUGCCAAACAAUAUUCGUCAACCUUGUCCUUGGUCUUCUCUUCUGAUUGAGGCAGAUGUUUAUUUUCCAUCUGUACUAUAUGUCAGUGUGACUGCAGCCUUCAUCUGGCAAAGGGACCCUGUAAUAUUAUGAGGCCAUCACAUAAGCUGGAAAGAUUACUCUAGUGAAUAAAAUCAGUUUAUGGC
ensembl:lincRNA Gm30667 predicted gene, 30667